GAUGAACGCUAGCGGCAGGCCUAACACAUGCAAGUCGAGGGGCAGCAUAAAAUAAACUUGUUUAUUUGGUGGCGACCGGCGCACGGGUGCGUAACGCGUAUGCAACCUACCUUAUACAAAGGGAUAGCCCGGAGAAAUUCGGAUUAAUACCUCAUAGUAUCUUCAAAUGGCAUCAUUUGAUUAUUAAAGUACCAACGGUAAAAGAUGAGCAUGCGUCCUAUUAGCUAGAUGGUAAGGUAACGGCUUACCAUGGCAACGAUAGGUAGGGGUCCUGAGAGGGAGCUCCCCCACACUGGUACUGAGACACGGACCAGACUCCUACGGGAGGCAGCAGUGAGGAAUAUUGGACAAUGGGCGCAAGCCUGAUCCAGCCAUGCCGCGUGCAGGAAGAAGCAUCUAUGGUGUGUAAACUGCUUUUGUACGGGAAGAAACACUCCCUCGUGAGGGAGCUUGACGGUACCGUAAGAAUAAGGAUCGGCUAACUCCGUGCCAGCAGCCGCCGUAACAC
rnacentral:rRNA from 1 species